ACACAAUUUUUUAUUGAAAAUGAUUAAACUCCACAAGAUUUCAGUUACUUCAGCUUUUAAAAGUCCCUUUAACUGAAACCCAUUCUAUACAUUCAAAAAUUAAUCUUAACUUCAAUCACGACUGUCCUGUUACUGUGAGUACUGUGAGUUACCUGCUCAUGUCUUUAACACCUUUCAAAGAAAAUGCUGUGAAAGCCCUGUUUUGGCAGUUAACCUGAGAUGUGGCUGAGAAAGCCAUGGGCCAGUUUUAAGUAUCUGAAUGUACCUCAAUUUUUAAAAGUCAGGGCAUCUCUCUGCCAGACUAGUUGCAGAAUCGAAGGAUGGUUGAGGCUGGAAAGGACCAUAGGAGAUCAUCUAGUCCAGCUUCUCUGCUAAAGCAGUUAGUGUACAUAGCUUGCCCCACACAGCUCAUCUUCAGGUAUAACAGCUAGUUUGAGGUUUUUUGGGGGGGAAAGGUUCAUUCUGACUUCUUUGAACUGAGGAAAAACUGCACAGCCAUAUAAGGUGAAGACAAGACAGAGACAGCAUACUAUCUCAGAGCCAAUGGAGCCAGUGUAAGUAAAUUCUCACCACCCUCAAGGUGCCACAUAUUCUCUACACUUGGCAAUUGAAUAGUUCUUUCUCUUGUUCAGGAUUCUAUUUUGUGGCUUACCAGCUUCUGGGUUUUGGAGCAUGUAAUUUAUUUUUUGAAAGCUGGUUGCGUUCAUAGGGCAUUCUGUCCCUGGUUAAUUUCAUUGAAAACAGGUAUGUGGUUAAACCUGCAGUUUCUCAGACAGUAUUGUAUUGAUUACCUUUCACCUUUUAUUGUGUACUCCUUAAAGAUCAAAUCACCUAGAGUACAUUGAGGAGUAAACUGAUUUUCAAUUGCAUGCCUUUUUAUUAUACUAGGUACUUUGUAUUAGUGGUACGUCAGCUUGUGGAGUGUGUUUACAACUUUCUCUACUGCUGUACAUCCAUAAUAGCUAGAAAAAGGGAAACUGUGGUCUUGCAAAAAAAAAAAAAAAAAGGUCAGUUUAGAGGUAGCUUUUCACUCUACAGAGAACUUCACUGAAAUAAAAUAUGAGUUAAUGGAGUCAGACAGUAGUGAAACAAUAAAUACUUUUUAAAACAGUUGCAAAUCAAGAGAAACAAGGUGCAAAUUUAACCAAAUCAAUCCUGAAAAAGAACAAAGUACAGUGUGAAACAAAAAAAAUUAUGUGACAUACAAAACACAAAAAAAGGGGGAAAAUGCCCAGAAAUAAAAAUCAGACUGUAUCUUAAAAGAGAUUAAGCUCAAAAAGGCCAAAAGCAAUAGGAAAGAAAAAAAGGGAACCAUAUAUGGCACUAUAUACACUGAGUUGUACUUUAGUCACAAAACCUAGUCACAAGUGUAGGAAGACUGUCACCAAUUUAAUAUUUUUAUUGCUACAUAAGUCCUAUCCCUCACCCUGCCGUAUUUUUCUCUUCCUUAUCUAGUUUUCCUGACCUGUCUUACUUCAUAUUCUGUGGGAGUGAUGACUCUCGCUUACAGGGCUUUCAGUUCAUUACGAGAGGUGAGGAGACCUAAGAAGUGCCAAUACCUUGAUGUAGGACCCAGUGAUCAGCAAGGGGAUUUGUUUUGGCCAGGGUUAAGCUUUCAGAUUGUGCAGCAUUUUUAGACCAAUGCCAUACUUGUGUGACACCUUAAACUACCCAGGAUCUCCCUGAAAGUGAAAUACAGGUACUCUGUCUGUCUCCAGGGCUGAUGUUUCUUCUUCAGCUACUUAACUGCACUAUGUCCCAGCAGGUGACAGGAUGGAGGAGGAAGAUGAAUCAUUUGGAUUCUGCUGCUGUGGACUGACUUGUCACUGGCUUAUCUCUGACACAGCUGAUGCAUCCUCCCAGAGAUGUAGCUUGCAGCCCCCGCUCCAAGACUGCUUCCUAACACAAGGCCUCUGCUGCCUCCACCUCUUGCGAGCAUCACCUUUGUCAACACACAAUCCAGUGCACACCAAGCUGAUUAUUGUUGUGUCUUUCAUCUUUAAAGGAGCCGAGAAGGGGAUUCUCACUUAAGCACUGCAGACCUGGGAGACCAAACAUUCAAGGAAGACAUGCAGAAUGAGGAUAAAUUCUGAGGAAAAAAGUCAAGAAAACAUCACAGCUCUAAGGAUGAGGUGUACCAUCCCUAGAGACAUUCAAGGCCAGGCUGGAUGUUGUCCUGGGCAACCUGAUCCGGUGGAAGAUGUCCCUGUUCAUUGCCAAGAGGUUGGACUAAAGGACCUUUGAAAGUCCCAACACAAACUGUUCUAUGAUUUUAUGAUUAUAAAAUUAUGGUUAAAUGGUUACAUUAUUACCAAUUAAAUGGUAAUGUUUAA